rnacentral:lncRNA from 1 species
GCCCGCCAAGUCAGGGGCCAUUCCGAGUCCCGCGGACGAAGUUCGCCCACGCCCCACACCAAGGCCAUAGCCCACCCGUUUUUUGGCCAUUUUUCCGCUGGGGGGUCUUGGGACCCCGACCUUCGGGGGCUGAUUUUUGGGCGCGGCUGUGCCCGUGGCCUAUUUUUGGCACACAGAGGCCGCCCGCCAAGUAUGGUGCCAUUCCGAGUCCCGCGGACGAACUUCGCCCACGCCGCCCACCAAGGCUAUAGCCCACCCGUUUUUUGGCCAUUUUUCCGCUGGGGGGUCUUGGGACCUCGACCUUCGGGGGCUGAUUUUUGGGCGCGGCUGUGCCCGUGUCCUAUUUUUGGCACACGGAGGCCGCCCGCCAAGUCAGGGGCCAUUCCGAGUCCCGCGGACGAAGUUCGCCCACGCCCCCCACCAAGGCUAUAGCCCACCCGUUUUUUGGCCAUUUUUCCGCUGGGGGGUCUUGGGACCCCGACCUUCGGGGGCUGAUUUUUGGGCGCGGCUGUGCCCGUGGCCUAUUUUUGGCACACGGAGGCCGCCCGCCAAGUCAGGGGCCAUUCCGAGUCCCGCGGACGAACUUCGCCCACGCCCCCCACCAAGGCUAUAGCCCACCCGUUUUUUGGCCAUUUUUCCGCUGGGGGGUCUUGGGACCCCGACCUUCGGGGGCUGAUUUUUGGGCGCGGCUGUGCCCGUGGCCUAUUUUUGGCACACAGAGGCCGCCCGCCAAGUAUGGUGCCAUUCCGAGUCCCGCGGACGAACUUCGCCCACGCCCCCCACCAAGGCUAUAGCCCACCCGUUUUUUGGCCAUUUUUCCGCUGGGGGGUCUUGGGACCCCGACCUUCGGGGGCUGAUUUUUGGGCGCGGCUGUGCCCGUGGCCUAUUUUUGGCACACGGAGGCCGCCCGCCAAGUCAGGGGCCAUUCCGAGUCCCGCGGACGAAGUUCGCCCACGCCCCCCACCAAGGCUAUAGCCCACCCGUUUUUUGGCCAUUUUUCCGCUGGGGGGUCUUGGGACCCCGACCUUCGGGGUCUGAUUUUUGGGCGCGGCUGUGCCCGUGGCCUAUUUUUGGCACACAGAGGCCGCCCGCCAAGUAUGGUGCCAUUCCGAGUCCCGCGGACGAACUUCGCCCACGCCCCCCACCAAGGCUAUAGCCCACCCGUUUUUUGGCCAUUUUUCCGCUGGGGGGUCUUGGGACCCCGACCUUCGGGGGCUGAUUUUUGGGCGCGGCUGUGCCCGUGGUCUAUUUUUGGCACACGGAGGCCGCCCGCCAAGUCAGGGGCCAUUCCGAGUCCCGCGGACGAACUUCGCCCACGCCGCCCACCAAGGCUAUAGCCCACCCGUUUUUUGGCCAUUUUUCCGCUGGGGGGUCUUGGGACCCCGACCUUCGGGGGCUGAUUUUUGUGCGCGGCUGUGCCCGUGGCCUAUUUUUGGCACACAGAGGCCGCCCGCCAAGUAUGGUGCCAUUCCGAGUCCCGCGGACGAACUUCGCCCACGCCCCCCACCAAGGCUAUAGCCCACCCGUUUUUUGGCCAUUUUUCCGCUGGGGGGUCUUGGGACCCCGACCUUCGGGGGCUGAUUUUUGGGCGCGGCUGUGCCCGUGGCCUAUUUUUGGCACACGGAGGCCGCCCGCCAAGUCAGGGGCCAUUCCGAGUCCCGCGGAUGAAGUUCGCCCACGCCCCCCACCAAGGCUAUAGCCCACCCGUUUUUUGGCCAUUUUUCCACUGGGGGGUCUUGGGACCCCGACCUUCGGGGGCUGAUUUUUGUACGCGGCUGUGCCCGUGGCCUAUUUUUGGCACACAGAGGCCGCCCGCCAAGUAUGGUGCCAUUCCGAGUCCCGCGGACGAACUUCGCCCACGCCCCCCACCAAGGCUAUAGCCCACCCGUUUUUUGGCCAUUUUUCCGCUGGGGGGUCUUGGGACCCCGACCUUCGGGGGCUGAUUUUUGGGCGCGGCUGUGCCCGUGGCCUAUUUUUGGCACACGGAGGCCGCCCGCCAAGUCAGGGGCCAUUCCGAGUCCCGCGGACGAAGUUCGCCCACGCCCCCCACGAAGGCUAUAGCCCACCCAUUUUUUGGCCAUUUUUCCACUGGGGGGUCUUGGGAGCCCGACCUUCGGGGGCUGAUUUUUGUGCGCGGCUGUGCCCGUGGCCUAUUUUUGGCACACAGAGGCCGCCCGCCAAGUAUGGUGCCAUUCCGAGUCCCGCGGACGAACUUCGCCCACGCCGCCCACCAAGGCUAUAGCCCACCCGUUUUUUGGCCAUUUUUCCGCUGGGGGGUCUUGGGACCCCGACCUUCGGGGGCUGAUUUUUGGGCGCGGCUGUGCCCGUGGCCUAUUUUUGGCACACGGAGGCCGCCCGCCAAGUCAGGGGCCAUUCCGAGUCCCGCGGACGAAGUUCGCCCACGCCCCCCACCAAGGCUAUAGCCCACCCGUUUUUUGGCCAUUUUUCCGCUGGGGGGUCUUGGGACCCCGACCUUCGGGGGCUGACUUUUGGGAGCGGCUGUGCCCGUGGCCUAUUUUUGGCACACAGAGGCCGCCCGCCAAGUAUGGUGCCAUUCCGAGUCCCGCGGACGAACUUCGCCCACGCCCCCCACCAAGGCUAUAGCCCACCCGUUUUUUGGCCAUUUUUCCGCUGCGGGGUCUUGGGACCCCGACCUUCGGGGGCUGAUUUUUGGGCGCGGCUGUGCCCGUGGCCUAUUUUUGGCACACAGAGGCCGCCCGCCAAGUAUGGUGCCAUUCCGAGUCCCGCAGACGAACUUCGCCUACGCCGCCCACCAAGGCUAUAGCCCACCCGUUUUUUGGCCAUUUUUCCGCUGGGGGGUCUUGGGACCCCGACCUUCGGGGGCUGAUUUUUGGGCGCGGCUGUGCCCGUGGCCUAUUUUUGGCACACGGAGGCCGCCCGCUAAGUCAGGGGCCAUUCCGAGUCCCGCGGACUAAGUUCGCCCACGCCCCCCACCAAGGCCAUUGCCCGACCGUUUUAUGGCCAUUUUUCCACUGGGGGGUCUUGCGACCCCGACCUUCGGGGGCUGAUUUUUGGGCGCGGCUGUGCCCGUGUCCUAUUUUUGGCACACAGAGGCCGCCCGCCAAGUAUGGUGCCAUUCCGAGUCCCGCGGACGAACUUCGCCCACGCCCCCCACCAAGGCUAUAGCCCACCCGUUUUUUGGCCAUUUUUCCGCUGGGGGGUCUUGGGACCCCGACCUUCGGGGGCUGACUUUUGGGCGCGGCUGUGCCCGUGGCCUAUUUUUGGCACACAGAGGCCGCCCGCCAAGUAUGGUGCCAUUCCGAGUCCCGCGGACGAACUUCGCCCACGCCCCCCACCAAGGCUAUAGCCCACCCGUUUUUUGGCCAUUUUUCCGCUGGGGGGUCUUGGGACCCCGACCUUCGGGGGCUGAUUUUUGGGCGCGCCUGUGCCCGUGGCCUAUUUUUGGCACACAGAGGCCGCCCGCCAAGUAUGGUGCCAUUCCGAGUCCCGCGGACGAACUUCGCCCACGCCCCCCACCAAGGCUAUAGCCCACCCGUUUUUUGGCCAUUUUUCCGCUGGGGGGUCUUGGGACCCCGACCUUCGGGGGCUGACUUUUGGGCGCGGCUGUGCCCGUGGCCUAUUUUUGGCACACAGAGGCCGCCCGCCAAGUAUGGUGCCAUUCCGAGUCCCGCGGACGAACUUCGCCCACGCCCCCCACCAAGGCUAUAGCCCACCCGUUUUUUGGCCAUUUUUCCGCUGGGGGGUCUUGGGACCCCGACCUUCGGGGGCUGAUUUUUGGGCGCGCCUGUGCCCGUGGCCUAUUUUUGGCACACAGAGGCCGCCCGCCAAGUAUGGUGCCAUUCCGAGUCCCGCGGACGAACUUCGCCCACGCCGCCCACCAAGGCUAUAGCCCACCCGUUUUUUGGCCAUUUUUCCGCUGGGGGGUCUUGGGACCCCGACCUUCGGGGGCUGAUUUUUGGGCGUGGCUGUGCCCGUGGCCUAUUUUUGGCACACGGAGGCCGCCCGCCAAGUCAGGGGCCAUUCUGAGUCCCGCGGACGAAGUUCGCCCACGCCCCACACCAAGGCCAUAGCCCACCCGUUUUUUGGCCAUUUUUCCGCUGGGGGGUCUUGGGACCCCGACCUUCGGGGGCUGACUUUUGGGAGCGGCUGUGCCCGUGGCCUAUUUUUGGCACACAGAGGCCGCCCGCCAAGUAUGGUGCCAUUCCGAGUCCCGCGGACGAACUUCGCCCACGCCCCCCACGAAGGCUAUAGCCCACCCGUUUUUUGGCAAUUUUUCCGCUGGGGGGUCUUGGGACCCCGACCUUCGGGGGCUGAUUUUUGGGCGCGGCUGUGCCCGUGGCCUAUUUUUGGCACACGGAGGCCGCCCGCCAAGUCAGGGGCCAUUCCGAGUCCCGCGGACGAAGUUCGCCCACGCCCUCCACCAAGGCUAUAGCCCACCCGUUUUUUGGCUAUUUUUCCACUGGGGGGUCUUGGGACCCCGACUUUCGGGUGCUGAUUUUUGGGCGCGGCUGUGCCCGUGGCCUAUUUUUGGCACACAGAGGCCGCCCGCCAAGUAUGGUGCCAUUCCGAGUCCCGCGGACGAACUUCGCCCACGCCCCCCACCAAGGCUAUAGCCCACCCGUUUUUUGGCCAUUUUUCCGCUGGGGGGUCUUGGGACCCCGACCUUCCGGGGCUGAUUUUUGAGCGCGGCUGUGCCCGUGGCCUAUUUUUGGCACACAGAGGCCGCCCGCCAAGUAUGGUGCCAUUCCGAGUCCCGCGGACGAACUUCGCCCACGCCGCCCACCAAGGCUAUUGCCCACCCGUUUUUUGGCCAUUUUUCCGCUGGGGGGUCUUGGGACCCCGACCUUCGGGGGCUGAUUUUUGGGCGCGGCUGUGCCCGUGGCCUAUUUUUGGCACACAGAGGCCGCCCGCCAAGUAUGGUGCCAUUCCGAGUCCCGCGGACGAACUUCGCCCACGCCGCCCACCAAGGCUAUAACCCACCCGUUUUUUGGCCAUUUUUCCGCUGGGGGGUCUUGGGACCCCGACCUUCGGGGGCUGAUUUUUGGGCGCGGCUGUGCCCGUGGCCUAUUUUUGGCACACAGAGGCCGCCCGCCAAGUAUGGUGCCAUUCCGAGUCCCGCGGACGAACUUCGCCCACGCCCCCCACCAAGGCUAUAGCCCACCCGUUUUUUGGCCAUUUUUCCGCUGGGGGGUCUUGGGACCCCGACCUUCGGGGGCUGAUUUUUGGGCGCGGCUGUGCCCGUGGCCUAUUUUUGGCACACAGAGGCCGCCCGCCAAGUAUGGUGCCAUUCCGAGUCCCGCGGACGAACUUCGCCCACGCCCCCCACCAAGGCUAUAGCCCACCCGUUUUUUGGCCAUUUUUCCGCUGGGGGGUCUUGGGACCCCGACCUUCGGGGGCUGAUUUUUGGGCGCGGCUGUGCCCGUGGCCUAUUUUUCGCACACAGAGGCCGCCCGCCAAGUAUGGUGCCAUUCCGAGUCCCGCGGACGAACUUCGCCCACACCCCCCACCAAGGCUAUAGCCCACCCGUUUUUUGGCCAUUUUUCCGCUGGGGGGUCUUGGGACCCCGACCUUCGGGGGAUGAUUUUUGGGCGCGGCUGUGCCCGUGGCCUAUUUUUGGCACACGGAGGCCGCCCGCCAAGUCAGGGGCCAUUCCGAGUCCCGCGGACGAACUUCGCCCACGCCGCCCACCAAGGCUAUAGCCCACCCGUUUUUUGGCCAUUUUUCCGCUGGGGGAUCUUGGGACCCCGACCUUCGGGGGCUGAUUUUUGGGCGCGGCUGUGCCCGUGGCCUAUUUUUGGCACACAGAGGCCGCCCGCCAAGUAUGGUGCCAUUCCGAGUCCCGCGGAUGAACUUCGCCCACGCCGCCCACCAAGGCUAUAGCCCACCCGUUUUUUGGCCAUUUUUCCGCUGGGGGGUCUUGGGACCCCGACCUUCGGGUGCUGAUUUUAGGGCGCGGCUGUGCCCGUGGCCUAUUUUUGGCACACAGAGGCCGCCCGCCAAGUAUGGUGCCAUUCCGAGUCCCGCGGACGAACUUCGCCCACGCCGCCCACCAAGGCUAUAGCCCACCCGUUUUUUGGCCAUUUUUCCGCUGGGGGGUCUUGGGACCCCGACCUUCGGGUGCUGAUUUUUGGGCGCGGCUGUGCCCGUGGCCUAUUUUUUGGCACACAGAGGGCCGCCCGCCAAGUCAGGGUGCCAUUCCGAGUCCCGCGGACGAAGUUCGCCCACGCCCCCCACCAAGGCUAUAGCCCACCCGUUUUUUGGCCAUUUUUCCGCUGGGGGGUCUUGGGACCCCGACCUUCGGGGGCUGAUUUUUGGGCGCGGCUGUGCCCGUGGCCUAUUUUUGGCACACGGAGGCCGCCCGCCAAGUCAGGGGCCAUUCCGAGUCCCGCGGACGAAGUUCGCCCACGCCCCCCACCAAGGCUAUAGCCCACCCGUUUUUUGGCCAUUUUUCCGCUGGGGGGUCUUGGGACCCCAACCUUCGGGGGCUGAUUUUUGAGCGCGGCUGUGCCCGUGGCCUAUUUUUGGCACACGGAGGCCGCCCGCCAAGACAGGGGCCAUUCCGAGUCCCGCGGACGAACUUCGCCCACGCCGCCCACCAAGGCUAUAGCCCACCCGUUUUUUGGCCAUUUUUCCGCUUGGGGGUCUUGGGACCCCGACCUUCGGGGGCUGAUUUUUGAGCGCGGCUGUGCCCGUGGCCUAUUUUUGGUACACGGAGGCCGCCCGCCAAGUCUGGUGCCAUUCCGAGUCCCGCGGACGAACUUCGCCCACGCCGCCCACCAAGGCUAUAGCCCACCCGUUUUUUGACCAUUUUUCCGCUGGGGGGUCUUGGGACCCCGACCUUCGGGGGCUGAUUUUUGGGCGCGGCUGUGCCCGUGGCCUAUUUUUGGCACACAGAGGCCGCCCGCCAAGUAUGGUGCCAUUCCGAGUCCCGCGGACGAACUUCGCCCACGCCCCCCACCAAGGCUAUAGCCCACCCGUUUUUUGGCCAUUUUUCCGCUGGGGGGUCUUGGGACCCCGACCUUCGGGGGCUGAUUUUUGGGCGCGGCUGUGCCCGUGGCCUAUUUUUGGCACACAGAGGCCGCCCGCCAAGUAUGGUGCCAUUCCGAGUCCCGCGGACGAACUUCGCCCACGCCGCCCACCAAGGCUAUAGCCCACCCGUUUUUUGGCCAUUUUUCCGCUGGGGGGUCUUGGGACCCCGACCUUCGGGGGCUGAUUUUUGGGCGCGGCUGUGCCCGUGGCCUAUUUUUGGCACACGGAGGCCGCCCGCCAAGUCAGGGGCCAUUCCGAGUCCCGCGGACGAAGUUCGCCCACGCCCCACACCAAGGCCAUAGCCCACCCGUUUUUUGGCCAUUUUUCCGCUGGGGGGUCUUGGGACCCCGACCUUCGGGGGCUGAUUUUUGGGCGCGGCUGUACCCGUGGCCCAGUUUUGGCACACGGAGGCCGCCCGCCAAGUCAGGGGCCAUUCCGAGUCCCGCGGAUGAAGUUCGCCCACGCCCCCCACCAAGGCUAUAGCCCACCCGUUUUUUGGCCAUUUUUCCACUGGGGGGUCUUGGGACCCCGACCUUCGGGGGCUGAUUUUUGUACGCGGCUGUGCCCGUGGCCUAUUUUUGGCACACAGAGGCCGCCCGCCAAGUAUGGUGCCAUUCCGAGUCCCGCGGACGAACUUCGCCCACGCCCCCCACCAAGGAUAUAGCCCACCCGUUUUUUGGCCAUUUUUCCGCUGGGGGGUCUUGGGACCCCGACCUUCAGGGGCUGAUUUUUGGGCGCGGCUGUGCCCGUGGCCUAUUUUUGGCACACGGAGGCCGCCCGCCAAGUCAGGGGCCAUUCCGAGUCCCGCGGACGAAGUUCGCCCACGCCCCCCACCAAGGCUAUAGCCAACCCGUUUUUUGGCCAUUUUUCCGCUGGGGGGUCUUGGGACCCCGACCUUCGGGGGCUGAUUUUUGGGCGCGGCUGUGCCCGUGGCCUAUUUUUGGCACACAGAGGCCGCCCGCCAAGUAUGGUGCCAUUCCGAGUCCCGCGGACGAACUUCGCCCACGCCGCCCACCAAGGCUAUAGCCCACCCGUUUUUUGGCCAUUUUUCCGCUGGGGGGUCAUGGGACCCCGACCUUCGGGGGCUGAUUUUUGGGCGCGGCUGUGCCCGUGGCCUAUUUUUGGCACACAGAGGCCGCCCGCCAAGUAUGGUGCCAUUCCGAGUCCCGCGGACGAACUUCGCCCACGCCCCCCACCAAGGCUAUAGCCCACCCGUUUUUUGGCCAUUUUUCCGCUGGGGGGUCUUGGGACCCCGACCUUCGGGGGCUGAUAUUUGGGCGCGGCUGUGCCCGUGGCCCAGUUUUGGCACACGGAGGCCGCCCGCCAAGUCGGGGGCCAUUCCGAGUCCCGCGGAUGAAGUUCGCCCACGCCCCCCACCAAGGCUAUAGCCCACCCGUUUUUUGGCCAUUUUUCCGCUGGGUGGUCUUGGGACCCCGACCUUCGGGGGCUGAUUUUUGGGCGCGGCUGUGCCCGUGGCCUAUUUUUGGCACACAGAGGCCGCCCGCCAAGUAUGGUGCCAUUCCGAGUCCCGCGGACGAACUUCGCCCACGCCGCCCACCAAUUCUAUAGCCCACCCGUUUUUUGGCCAUUUUUCCGCUGGGGGGUCUUGGGACCCCGACCUUCGGGGGCUGAUUUUUGGGCGCGGCUGUGCCCGUGGCCUAUUUUUGGCACACGGAGGCCGCCCGCCAAGUCAGGGGCCAUUCCGAGUCCCGCGGACGAAGUUCGCCCACGCCGUCCACCAAGGCUAUAGCCCACCCGUUUUUUGGCCAUUUUUCCACUGGGGGGUCUUGGGACACCGACUUUCGGGUGCUGAUUUUUGGGCGCGGCUGUGCCCGUGGCCUAUUUUUGGCACACAGAGGCCGCCCACCAAGUAUGGUGCCAUUCCGAGUCCCGCGGACGAACUUCGCCCACGCCCCCCACCAAGGCUAUAGCCCACCCGUUUUUUGGCCAUUUUUCCGCUGGGGGGUCUUGGGACCCCGACCUUCGGGGGCUGAUUUUUGGGCGCGGCUGUGCCCGUGGCCUAUUUUUGGCACACGGAGGCCGCCCGCCAAGUCAGGGGCCAUUCCGAGUCCCGCGGACGAACUUCGCCCACGCCGCCCACCAAGGCUAUAGCCCACCCGUUUUUUGGCCAUUUUUCCGCUGGGGGGUCUUGGGACCCCGACCUUCGGGGGCUGAUUUUUGGGCGCGGCUGUGCCCGUGGCCUAUUUUUGGCACACAGAGGCCGCCCGCCAAGUACGGUGCCAUUCCGAGUCCCGCGGACGAACUUCGCCCACGCCGCCCACCAAGGCUGUAGCCCACCCGUUUUUUGGCCAUUUUUCCGCUGGGGGGUCUUGGGACCCCGACCUUCGGGGGCUGAUUUUUGGGCGCGGCUGUGCCCGUGGCCUAUUUUUGGCACACGGAGGCCGCCCGCCAAGUCAGGGGCCAUUCCGACUCCCGCGGACGAAGUUCGCCCACGCCCCCCACCAAGGCUAUAGCCCACCCGUUUUUGGCCAUUUUUCCGCUGGGGGGUCUUGGGACCCCGACCUUCGGGGGCUGAUUUUUGGGCGCGGCUGUGCCCGUGGCCUAUUUUUAGCACACAGAGGCCGCCCGCCAAGUAUGGUGCCAUUCCGAGUCCCGCGGACGAACUUCGCCCACGCCCCCCACCAAGGCUAUAGCCCACCCGUUUUUUGGCCAUUUCUCCGCUGGUGGGUCUUGGGACCCCGACCUUCGGGGGCUGAUUUUUGGGCGCGGCUGUGCCCGUGGCCUAUUUUUGGCACACGGAGGCCGCCCGCCAAGUCAGGGGCCAUUCCGAGUCCCGCGGACGAAGUUCGCCCACGCCCCCCACCAAGGCUAUAGCCCACCCGUUUUUUGGCCAUUUUUCCACUGGGGGGUCUUGGGACCCCGACCUUCGGGGGCUGAUUUUUGGGCGCGGCUGUGCCCGUGGCCUAUUUUUGGCACACAGAGGCCGCCCGCCAAGUAUGGUGCCAUUCCGAGUCCCGCGGACGAACUUCGCCCACACCCCCAACAAGGCUAUAGCCCACCCGUUUUUUGGCCAUUUUUCCGCUGGUGGGUCUUGGGACCCCGACCUUCGGGGGCUGAUUUUUGGGCGCGGCUGUGCCCGUGCCCUAUUUUUGGCACACGGAGGCCGCCCGCCAAGUCAGGGGCCAUUCCGAGUCCCGCGGACGAAGUUCGCCCACGCCCCCCACCAAGGCUAUAGCCCACCCGUUUUUUGGCCAUUUUUCCACUGGGGGGUCUUGGGACCCCGACCUUCGGGGGCUGAUUUUUGUGCGCGGCUGUGCCCGUGGCCUAUUUUUGGCACACAGAGGCCGCCCGCCAAGUAUGGUGCCAUUCCGAGUCCCGCGGACGAACUUCGCCCACGCCCCCCACCAAGGCUAUAGCCCACCCGUUUUUUGGCCAUUUUUUCGCUGGGGGGUCUUGGGACCCCGACCUUCGGGGGCUGAUUUUUGGGCGCGGCUGUGCCCGUGGCCUAUUUUUGGUACCCGGAGGCCGCCCGCCAAGUCAGGGGCCAUUCCGAGUCCCGCGGACGAAGUUCGCCCACGCCCCCCACCAAGGCUAUAGCCCACCCGUUUUUUGGCCAUUUUUCCGCUGGGGGGUCUUGGGACCUCGACCUUCGGGGGCUGAUUUUUGGGCGCGGCUGUGCCCGUGUCCUAUUUUUGGCACACGGAGGCCGCCCGCCAAGUCAGGUGCCAUUCCGAGUCCCGCGGACGAAGUUUGCCCACGCCCCCCACCAAGGCUAUAGCCCACCCGUUUUUUGGCCAUUUUUCCGCUGGGGGGUCUUGGGACCCCGACCUUCGGGGGCUGAUUUUUGGGCGCGGCUGUGCCCGUGGCCUAUUUUUGGCACACAGAGGCCGCCCGCCAAGUAUGGUGCCAUUCCGAGUCCCGCGGACGAACUUCGCCCACGCCGCCCACCAAGGCUAUAGCCCACCCGUUUUUUGACCAUUUUUCCGCUGGGGGGUCUUGGGACCCCGACCUUCGGGGGCUGAUUUUUGGGCGCGGCUGUGCCCGUGGCCUAUUUUUGGUACCCGGAGGCCGCCCGCCAAGUCAGGGGCCAUUCCGAGUCCCGCGGACGAAGUUCGCCCUCUCCCCCCACCAAGGCUAUAGCCCACCCGUUUUUUGGCCAUUUUUCCGCUGGGGGGUCUUGGGACCUCGACCUUCGGGGGCUGAUUUUUGGGCGCGGCUGUGCCCGUGUCCUAUUUUUGGCACACGGAGGCCGCCCGCCAAGUCAGGGGCCAUUCCGAGUCCCGCGGACGAAGUUCGCCCACGCCCCCCACCAAGGCUAUAGCCCACCCGUUUUUUGGCCAUUUUUCCGCUGGGGGGUCUUGGGACCCCGACCUUCGGGGGCUGAUUUUUGGGCGCGGCUGUGCCCGUGGCCUAUUUUUGGCACACAGAGGCCGCCCGCCAAGUAUGGUGCCAUUCCGAGUCCCGCGGACGAACUUCGCCCACGCCGCCCACCAAGGCUAUAGCCCACCCGUUUUUUGACCAUUUUUCCGCUGGGGGGUCUUGGGACCCCGACCUUCGGGGGCUGAUUUUUGGGCGCGGCUGUGCCCGUGGCCAAUUUUUGGUACCCGGAGGCCGUCCGCCAAGUCAGGGGCCAUUCCGAGUCCCGCGGACGAAGUUCGCCCACGCCCCCCACCAAGGCUAUAGCCCACCCGUUUUUUGGCCAUUUUUCCGCUGGGGGGUCUUGGGACCCCGACCUUUGGGGGCUGAUUUUUGGGCGCGGCUGUGCCCGUGGCCUAUUUUUGGCACACGGAGGCCGCCCGCCAAGUCAGGGGCCAUUCCGAGUCCCGCGGACGAAGUUCGCCCACGCCCCCCACCAAGGCUAUAGCCCACCCGUUUUUUGGCCAUUUUUCCGCUGGGGGGUCUUGGGACCCCGACCUUCGGGGUCUGAUUUUUGGGCGCGGCUGUGCCCGUGGCCUAUUUUUGGCACACGGAGACCACCCGCCAAGUAUGGUGCCAUUCCGAGUCCCGCGGACGAACUUCGCCCACGCCCCCCACCAAGGCUAUAGCCCACCCGUUUUUUGGCCAUUUUUCCGCUGGGGGGUCUUGGGACCCCGACCUUCGGGGGCUGAUUUUUGGGCGCGGCUGUGCCCGUGGCCUAUUUUUGGCACACGGAGGCCGCCCGCCAAGUAUGGUGCCAUUCCGAGUCCCGCGGACGAACUUCGCCCACGCCGCCCACCAAGGCUAUAGCCCACCCGUUUUUUGGCCAUUUUUCCGCUGGGGGGUCUUGGGACCCCGACCUUCGGGGGCUGAUUUUUGGGCGCGGCUGUGCCCGUGGCCUAUUAUUGGCACACGGAGGCCGCCCGCCAAGUCAGGGACCAUUCCGAGUCCCGCGGACGAAGUUCGCCCACGCCCCCCACCAAGGCUAUAGCCCACCCGUUUUUUGGACAUUUUUCCGCUGGGGGGUCUUGGGACCCCGACCUUCGGGGGCUAAUUUUUGGGCGCGGCUGUGCCCGUGGCCUAUUUUUGGCACACAUAGGCCGCCCGCCAAGUAUGGUGCCAUUCCUAGUCCCGCGGACAAACUUCUCCCACACCACCCACCAAGGCUAUAGCCCACCCGUUUUUGGCCAUUUUUCCGCUGGGGGGUCUUGGGAGCCCGACCUUCGGGGGCUGAUUUUUGGGCGCGGCUGUGCCCGUGGCCUAUUUUUGGCACACGGAGGCCGCCCGCCAAGUCAGGGGCCAUUCCGAGUCCCGCGGACGAAGUUCGCCCACGCCCCCCACCAAGGCUAUAGCCCACCCGUUUUUUGGCCAUUUUUCCGCUGGGGGGUCUUGGGACCCCGACCUUCGGGGGCUGAUUUUUGGGCCGCGGCUGUGCCCGUGGCCUAUUUUUGGCACACAGAGGCCGCCCGCCAAGUAUGGUGCCAUUCCGAGUCCCGCGGACGAACUUCGCCCACGCCCCCCACCAAGGCUAUAGCCCACCCGUUUUUUGGCCAUUUUUCCGCUGGGGGGUCUUGGGACCCCGACCUUCGGGGGCUGAUUUUUGGGCGCGGCUGUGCCCGUGGCCUAUUUUUGGCACACAGAGGCCGCCCGCCAAGUAUGGUGCCAUUCCGAGUCCCGCGGACGAACUUCGCCCACGCCCCCCACCAAGGCUAUAGCCCACCCGUUUUUUGGCCAUUUUUCCGCUGGGGGGUCUUGGGACCCCGACCUUCGGGGGCUGAUUUUUGGGCGCGGCUGUGCCCGUGGCCUAUUUUUGGCACACGGAGGCCGCCCGCCAAGUCAGGGGCCAUUCCGAGUCCCGCGGACGAAGUUCGCCCACGCCCCCCACCAAGGCUAUAGCCCACCCGUUUUUUGGCCAUUUUUCCACUGGGGGGUCUUGGGACCCCGACCUUCGGGGGCUGAUUUUUGGGCGCGGCUGUGCCCGUGGCCUAUUUUUGGCACACGGAGGCCGCCCGCCAAGUCAGGGGCCAUUCCAAGUCCCGCGUACGAAGUUCGCCCACGCCUCCCACCAAGGCUAUAGCCCACCCAUUUUUUGGCCAUUUUUCCACUGGGGGGUCUUGGGACCCCGACCUUCGGGGGCUGAUUUUUGUGCGCGGCUGUGCCCGUGGCCUAUUUUUGGCACACAGAGACCGCCCGCCAAGUAUGGUGCCAUUCCGAGUCCCGCGGACGAACUUCGCCCACGCCGCCCACCAAGUCUAUAGCCCACCCGUUUUUUGGCCAUUUUUCCGCUGGGGGGUCUUGGGACCCCGACCUUCGGGGGCUGAUUUUUGGGCGCGGCUGUGCCCGUGGCCUAUUUUUGGCACACAGAGGCCGCCCGCCAAGUAUGGUGCCAUUCCGAGUCCCGCGGACGAACUUCGCCCACGCCCCCCACCAAGGCUAUAGCCCACCCGUUUUUUGGCCAUUUUUCCGCUGGGGGGUCUUGGGACCCCGACCUUCGGGGGCUGAUUUUUGGGCGCGGCAGUGCCCGUGGCCUAUUUUUGGCACACAGAGGCCGCCCGCCAAGUAUGGUGCCAUUCCGAGUCCCGCAGAUGAACUUCGCCCACGCCGCCCACCAAGGCUAUAGCCCACCCGUUUUUUGGCCAUUUUUCCGCUGGGGGGUCUUGGGACCCCGACCUUCGGGGGCUGAUUUUUGGGCGCGGCUGUGCCCGUGGCCUAUUUUUGGCACACGGAGGCCGCCCGCCAAGUCAGGGGCCAUUCCGAGUCCCGCGGACGAAGUUCGCCCACGCCCCCCACCAAGGCUAUAGCCCACCCGUUUUUUGGCCAUUUUUCCGCUGGGGGGUCUUGGGACCCUGACCUUCGGGGGCUGAUUUUUGGGCGCGGCUGUGCCCGUGGCCUAUUUUUGGCACACAGAGGCCGCCCGCCAAGUAUGGUGCCAUUCCGAGUCCCGCGGACGAACUUCGCCCACGCCGCCCACCAAGGCUAUUGCCCACCCGUUUUUUGGCCAUUUUUCCACUGGGGGGUCUUGGGACCCCUACNNNNNNNNNNNNNNNNNNNNNNNNNNNNNNNNNNNNNNNNNNNNNNNNNNNNNNNNNNNNNNNNNNNNNNNNNNNNNNNNNNNNNNNNNNNNNNNNNNNNNNNNNNNNNNNNNNNNNNNNNNNNNNNNNNNNNNNNNNNNNNNNNNNNNNNNNNNNNNNNNNNNNNNNNNNNNNNNNNNNNNNNNNNNNNNNNNNNNNNNNNNNNNNNNNNNNNNNNNNNNNNNNNNNNNNNNNNNNNNNNNNNNNNNNNNNNNNNNNNNNNNNNNNNNNNNNNNNNNNNNNNNNNNNNNNNNNNNNNNNNNNNNNNNNNNNNNNNNNNNNNNNNNNNNNNNNNNNNNNNNNNNNNNNNNNNNNNNNNNNNNNNNNNNNNNNNNNNNNNNNNNNNNNNNNNNNNNNNNNNNNNNNNNNNNNNNNNNNNNNNNNNNNNNNNNNNNNNNNNNNNNNNNNNNNNNNNNNNNNNNNNNNNNNNNNNNNNNNNNNNNNNNNNNNNNNNNNNNNNNNNNNNNNNNNNNNNNNNNNNNNNNNNNNNNNNNNNNNNNNNNNNNNNNNNNNNNNNNNNNNNNNNNNNNNNNNNNNNNNNNNNGGCUGUACCCGUGGCCUAUUUUUGGCACACGGAGGCCGCCCGCCAAGUCAGGGGCCAUUCCGAGUCCCGCGGACGAAGUUCGCCCACGCCCCCCACCAAGGCUAUAGCCAACCCGUUUUUUGGCCAUUUUUCCGCUGGGGGGUCUUGGGACCCCGAGCUUCGGGGGCUGAUUUUUGGGCGCGGCUGUGCCCGUGGCCUAUUUUUGGAAUACAGUGACCGCCCGCCAAGUAUGGUGCCAUUCCGAGUCCCGCGGACGAACUUCGCCCACGCCGCCCCACCAAGGCUAUAGCCCACCCGUUUUUUGGCCAUUUUUCCGCUGGGGGGUCUUGGGACCCCGACCUUCGGGGGCUGUUUUUUGGGCGCGGCUGUGCCCGUGGCCUAUUUUUGGCACACGGAGGCCGCCCGCAACGUCUGGUGCCAUUCCGAGUCCCGCGGACGAACUUCGCCCACGCCCCCGACCAAGGCUAUAGCCCACCCGUUUUUUGGCCAUUUUUCCGCUGGGGGGUCUUGGGACCCCGACCUUCGGGAGCUGUUUUUUGGGCGCGGCUGUGCCCGUGGCCUAUUUUUGGCACACGGAGGCCGCCCGCCACGUCUGGUGCCAUUCCGAGUCCCGCGGACGAACUUCGCCCACGGCCCCCACCAAGGCUAUAGCCCACCCGUUUUUUGGCCAUUUUUCCGCUGGGGGGUCUUGGGACCCCGACCUUCGGGGGCUGUUUUUUGGGCGCGGCUGUGCCCGUGGCCUAUUUUUGGCACACGGAGGCCGCCCGCCAAGUCUGGUGCCAUUCCGAGUCCCGCGGACGAACUUCGCCCACGCCCCCCACCAAGGCUAUAGCCCACCCGUUUUUUGGCCAUUUUUCCGCUGGGGGGUCUUGGGACCCCGACCUUCGGGGGCUGUUUUUUGGGCGCGGCUGUGCCCGUGGCCUAUUUUUGGCACACGGAGGCCGCCCGCCAAGUCUGGUGCCAUUCCGAGUCCCGCGGACGAACUUCGCCCACGCCCCCCACCAAGGCUAUAGCCCACCCGUUUAUUGGCCAUUUUUCCGCUGGGGGGUCUUGGGACCCCGACCUUCGGGGGCUGGUUUUUGGGCGCGGCUGUGCCCGUGGCCUAUUUUUGGCACACGGAGGCCGCCCGCCAAGUCUGGUGCCAUUCCGAGUCCCGCGGACGAACUUCGCCCACGGCCCCCACCAAGGCUAUAGCCCACCCGUUUUUUGGCCAUUUUUCCGCUGGGGGGUCUUGGGACCCCGACCUUCGGGGGCUGUUUUUUGGGCGCGGCUGUGCCCGUGGCCUAUUUUUGGCACACGGAGGCCGCCCGCCAAGUCUGGUGCCAUUCCGAGUCCCGCGGACGAACUUCGCCCACGGCCCCCACCAAGGCUAUAGCCCACCCGUUUUUUGGCCAUUUUUCCGCUGGGGGGUCUUGGGACCCCGACCUUCGGGGGCUGUUUUUUGGGCGCGGCUGUGCCCGUGGCCUAUUUUUGGCACACGGAGGCCGCCCGCCAAGUCUGGUGCCAUUCCGAGUCCCGCGGACGAACUUCGCCCACGCCCCCCACCAAGGCUAUAGCCCACCCGUUUUUUGGCCAUUUUUCCGCUGGGGGGUCUUGGGACCCCGACCUUCGGGGGCUGGUUUUUGGGCGCGUCUGUGCCCGUGGCCUAUUUUUGGCACACGGAGGCCGCCCGCCAAGUCUGGUGCCAUUCCGAGUCCCGCGGACGAACUUCGCCCACGCCCCCCACCAAGGCUAUAGCCCACCCGUUUUUUGGCCAUUUUUCCGCUGGGGGGUCUUGGGACCCCGACCUUCGGGGGCUGUUUUUUGGGCGCGGCUGUGCCCGUGGCCUAUUUUUGGCACACGGAGGCCGCCCGCCAAGUCUGGUGCCAUUCCGAGUCCCGCGGACGAACUUCGCCCACGCCCCCCACCAAGGCUAUAGCCCACCCGUUUUUUGGCCAUUUUUCCGCUGGGGGGUCUUCGGACCCCGACCUUCGGGGGCUGGUUUUUGGGCGCGGCUGUGCCCGUGGCCUAUUUUUGGCACACGGAGGCCGCCCGCCAAGUCUGGUGCCAUUCCGAGUCCCGUGGACGAACUUCGCCCACGGCCCCCACCAAGGCUAUAGCCAACCCGUUUUUUGGCCAUUUUUCCGCUGGGGGGUCUUGGGACCCCGACCUUGGGGGGCUGUUUUUUGGGCGCGGCUGUGCCCGUGGCCUAUUUUUGGCACACGGAGGCCGCCCGCCAAGUCUGGUGCCAUUCCGAGUCCCGCGGACGAACUUCGCCCACGCCCCCCACCAAGGCUAUAGCCCACCCGUUUUUUGGCCAUUUUUCCGCUGGGGGGUCUUGGGACCCCGACCUUCGGGGGCUGUUUUUUGGGCGCGGCUGUGCCCGUGGCCUAUUUUUGGCACACGGAGGCCGCCCACCAAGUCUGGUGCCAUUCCGAGUCCCGCGGACGAACUUCGCCCACGCCCCCCACCAAGGCUAUAGCCCACCUAUUUUUUGGCCAUUUUUCCGCUGGGGGGUCUUGGGACCCCGACCUUCGGGGGCUGUUUUUUGGGCGCGGCAGUGCUCGUGGCCUAUUUUUGGCACACGGAGGCCGCCCUCCAAGUCUGCUGCCAUUCCGAGUCCCGCGGACGAACUUCGCCCACGCCCCCCACCAAGGCUAUAGCCCACCUAUUUUUUGGCCAUUUUUCCGCUGGGGGGUCUUGGGACCCCGAACUUCGAGGGCUGUUUUUUGGGUGCGGCUGUGCCCGUGGCCUAUUUUUGGCACACGGAGGCCGCCCGCCAAGUCUGGUGCCAUUCCGAGUCCCGCGGACGAACUUCGCCCACGCCCCCCACCAAGGCUAUAGCCCACCCGUUUUUUGGCCAUUUUUCCGCUGGGGGGUCUUGGGACCCCGACCUUCGGGGGCUGUUUUUUGGGCGCGGCUGUGCCCGUGGCCUAUUUUUGGCACACGGAGGCCGCCCGCCAAGUCUGGUGCCAUUCCGAGUCCCGCGGACGAACUUCGCCCACGCCCCCCACCAAGGCUAUAGCCCACCCGUUUUUUGGCCAUUUUUCCGCUGGCGGGUCUUGGGACCCCGGCCUUCGGGGGCUGUUUUUUGGGCGCGGCAGUGCCCGUGGCCUAUUUUUGGCACACGGAGGCCGCCCGCCAAGUCUGGUGCCAUUCCGAGUCCCGCGGACGAACUUCGCCCACGGCCCCCACCAAGGCUAUAGGCCACCCGUUUUUUGGCCAAUUUUCCGCUGGGGGGUCUUGGGACCCCGACCUUCGGGGGCUGUUUUUUGGGCGCGGCUGUGCCCGUGGCCUAUUUUUGGCACACGGAGGCCGCCCGCCAAGUCUGGUGCCAUUCCGAGUCCCGCGGACGAACUUCGCCCACGCCCCCCACCAAGGCUAUAGCCCACCCGUUUUUUGGUCAUUUUUCCGCUGGGGGGUCUUGGGACCCCGACCUUCGGGGGCUGUUUUUUGGGCGCGGCUGUGCCCGUGGCCUAUUUUUGGCACACGGAGGCCGCCCGCCAAGUCUGGUGCCAUUCCGAGUCCCGCGGACAAACUUCGCCCACGACCCCCACCAAGGCUAUAGGCCACCCGUUUUUUGGCCAUUUUUCCGCUGGGGGGGUCUUGGGACCCCGACCUUCGGGGGCUGUUUUUUGGACGCGGCUGUGCCCGUGGCCUAUUUUUGGCACACGGAGGCCGCCCGCCAAGUCUGGUGCCAUUCCGAGUCCCGCGGACGAACUUCGCCCACGGCCCCCACCAAGGCUAUAGGCCACCCGUUUUUUGGCCAAUUUUCCGCUGGGGGGUCUUGGGACCCCGACCUUCGGGGGCUGUUUUUUGGGCGCGGCUGUGCCCGUGGCCUAUUUUUGGCACACGGAGGCCGCCCGCCAAGUCUGGUGCCAUUCCGAGUCCCGCGGACGAACUUCGCCCACGCCCCCCACCAAGGCUAUAGCCCACCCGUUUUUUGGUCAUUUUUCCGCUGGGGGGUCUUGGGACCCCGACCUUCGGGGGCUGUUUUUUGGGCGCGGCUGUGCCCGUGGCCUAUUUUUGGCACACGGAGGCCGCCCGCCAAGUCUGGUGCCAUUCCGAGUCCCGCGGACGAACUUCGCCCACGGCCCCCACCAAGGCUAUAGCCCACCCGUUUUUUGGCCAUUUUUCCGCUGGGGGGUCUUGGGACCCCGACCUUCGGGGGCUGUUUUUUGGGCGCGGCUGUGCCCGUGGCCUAUUUUUGGCACACGGAGGCCGCCCGCCAAGUCUGGUGCCAUUCCGAGUCCCGCGGACGAACUUCGCCCACGCCCCCCACCAAGGCUAUAGCCCACCCGUUUUUUGGUCAUUUUUCCGCUGGGGGUCUUGGGACCCCGACCUUCGGGGGCUGUUUUUUGGGCGCGGCUGUGCCCGUGGCCUAUUUUUGGCACACGGAGGCCGCCCGCCAAGUCUGGUGCCAUUCCGAGUCCCGCGGACGAACUUCGCCCACGCCCCCCACCAAGGCUAUAGCCCACCCGUUUUUUGGCCAUUUUUCCGCUGGGGGGUCUUGGGACCCCGACCUUCGGGGGCUGUUUUUUGGGCGCGGCUGUGCCCGUGGCCUAUUUUUGGCACACGGAGGCCGCCCGCCACGUCUGGUGCCAUUCCGAGUCCCGCGGACGAACUUCGCCCACGGCCCCGACCAAGGCUAUAGCCCACCCGUUUUUUGGCCAUUUUUCCGCUGGGGGGUCUUGGGACCCCGACCUUCGGGGGCUGUUUUUUGGGCGCGGCUGUGCCCGUGGCCUAUUUUUGGCACACGGAGGCCGCCCGCCAAGUCUGGUGCCAUUCCGAGUCCCGCGGACGAACUUCGCCCACGGCCCCCACCAAGGCUAUAGCCCACCCGUUUUUUGGCCAUUUUUCCGCUGGGGGGUCUUGGGACCCCGACCUUCGGGGGCUGGUUUUUGGGCGCGGCUGUGCCCGUGGCCUAUUUUUGGCACACGGAGGCUGCCCGCCAAGUCUGGUGCCAUUCCGAGUCCCGCGGACGAACCUCGCCCACGCCCCCCACCAAGGCUAUAGCCCACCCGUUUUUUGGCCAUUUUUCCGCUGGGGGGUCUUGGGACCCCGACCUUCGGGGGCUGAUUUUUGGGCGCGGCUGUGCCCGUGGCCUAUUUUUGGCACACAGAGGCCGCCCGCCAAGUAUGGUGCCAUUCCGAGUCCCGCGGACGAACUUUGCCCACGCCCCCCACCAAGGCUAUAGCCCACCCGUUUUUUGGCCAUUUUUCCGCUGGGGGGUCUUGGGACCCCGACCUUCGGGGGCUGAUUUUUGGGCG